AUUGAACGCUGGCGGCAGGCUUAACACAUGCAAGUCGAGCGAGCGGCGGACGGGUGAGUAAUGUCUGGGAAACUGCCUGAUGGAGGGGGAUAACUACUGGAAACGGUAGCUAAUACCGCAUACCAUCAGAUGUGCCCAGAGGGGAUUAGCUAGUAGGUGGGGUAAUGGCUCACCUAGGCGACGCUCCAUAGCGGGUCUGAGAGGAUGACGAGCCACACGGGAACUGAGACACGGUCCAGACUCCUCGGGGAGGCAGCAGGGGGGAAUAUUGCACAAGGGGCGCAAGCCUGAUGCAGCCAUGCGGCGGGUGGGAAGAAGGCCUUCGGGUUGUAAAGCACUUUCAGCGAGGAGGCGUUACUCGAAGAAGAAGCACCGGCUAACUCCGUGCCAGCAGCCGCGGUAAUAC
rnacentral:rRNA from 1 species